rnacentral:hammerhead_ribozyme from 1 species
AUUCAGAUGACGAGUGCCAAAUAGGAUGAAAUUCGCGUUAUCCUGGAU